rnacentral:misc_RNA from 1 species
GAAAUGCGAUAAGCAAUGCGAAUUGCAGAAUUCAGUGAAUCAUCAGAACUUUGAACGCAUAUUGCGCUCUCGGGACAACCGAGAGCAUGCCUGCUUCAGUGUCUUUAACGAACCUCACCAAGUCUAACCGCUUGGUUGGAGAAUGAGUGUCAGCCACGCCUCGUGCGGUGCUGUCGCUUGAAGUACAUGGCCUGGGACCACAGUAGUGCCCCAUACACGCAGUGUAGUAGUCACACCUAGUGUGAAUCUCACUGCGCCGGGGUCGUGGCUCCAGCAAGGCUCCGAUGCACCGGGCUCCCGUCACUGGGGGUGCCGACAUCACCUACUUCUCAAUUGAGACCUGAAAUUAGGCAAGACUACCCGCUGAAUUUAA